rnacentral:rRNA from 1 species
UGGGGAAUCUUGGACAAUGGGGGCAACCCUGAUCCAGCCAUGCCGCGUGGGUGAAGAAGGCCUUAGGGUUGUAAAGCCCUUUCAGUCGUGACGAUGAUGACGGUAGCGACAGAAGAAGCCCCGGCUAACUCCGUGCCAGCGGCCGCGGUAAGACGGAGGGUGCUAGCGUUGUUCGGAAUCACUGGGCGUAAAGGGCGCGUAGGCGGCCUGGACAGUCAGAUGUGAAAGCCCGGGGCUCAACCCCGGAACGGCAUUUGAUACUGCCAGGCUGGAGGUCGGAAGAGGAGGGUGGAAUAUCCAGUGUAGAGGUGAAAUUCGUAGAUAUUGGAUGGAACACCGGUGGCGAAAGCGGCUCUCUGGUCCGAACCUGACGCUGAGGCGCGAAAGCGUGGGGAGCAAACAGGAUUAGAUACCCCCAUAGUCC